GAUGAAGAACGCAUCGAAAUGCGAUAAGUAAUGUGAAUUGCAGAAUUCAGUGAAUCAUCGAAUCUUUGAACGCACAUUGCGCCCGCCAGUAUUCUGGCGGGCAUGCCUGUCCGAGCGUCAUUUCAACCCUCGAACCCCUCCGGGGGGUCGGCGUUGGGGAUCGGCACUUACCUGCCGGCCCCGAAAUACAGUGGCGGUCUCGCCGCAGCCUCUCCUGCGCAGUAGUUUGCACACUCGCACCGGGAGCGCGGCGCGUCCACGGCCGUAAAACAACCCAAACUUCUGAAAUGUUGACCUCGGAUCAGGUAGGAAUACCCGCUGAACUUAAGCAUAUCAAUAAGCGGAGGA
rnacentral:misc_RNA from 1 species